CAUUCGACUUCAAAUGACUUUUAAAAACUCUCUAAUCUCCGAAUUUGUUUUUUCACAAAAAAUCCCAUCGAGGUUCAAUGGCGAAGCAGCAGAGCAACCAUAGAAACAGAAUCGACGAAAUUGAAACUCAUGAAUAGUUAGUAGAUCUCACUUCAUUUUUCUUCGAAUUCAAAUCCAAUCUCAUCUGUGAAGAAUCAAAUUUGUUUUUUAAUUUUUAAAAUAUAGAGAACAAAGAAGUGAAUCAGAUUAAAC
rnacentral:lncRNA from 1 species